CUUUCAUCAAGAGUUGGCUGAGGGACUGGCCCUAUGAAGCCGCGGCAACCAUCGCAUAUGCGAACGGUGCCAAUUCCUGCAACCCGUAAGGGUUUGGCAGAUGAAGA
rnacentral:ncRNA from 1 species